CUAGUUUUCUUUGAAGGGUCAAAUUUGAAGCUGGGGGAAAAGACAUCCCUGGUUUCUGAGAGCGACCAGGGUGGAAUGUGUGAGUCAAGAACAGAGAAGAUACUAAGGAAAACUCACCGCCACACCAGGAAAGAGGCAUAUCUGCCCCAUAAAAAGAAGAGAACAUUUCUCAAAAUGUUGUAUGAAACAAUGGAAGAAGUGAAGAGCUGUGAAGAACUAGUUUCAAGGAUGCUACAUCUUCUGAAAUGACCACUGCUUCUAGAAGAUCAGCCAACUGAAAAUAUUUGUGGACUUCCUUUCAAUGACUCAAGAUUUCAAAUAAUGAAACAUUGUGAAUAUCUCGUAAUGCUUUCUACAUCAGCCUGGGCUGACUUGUCACCAAUACAAUUACAAAGCAACAUCUAACCCUGAGAAAUGACUUUUUAAGGGAAAC